rnacentral:rRNA from 1 species
GUUUAUGGCCAUGCCACACUGAAUAUGCUGAUCUCAUCUGAUCUCAGAAACUAAGCAGGGUUGGGGCUAGUUAGUACUCGGAUGAGAGACCACCUAGGAAGACCAGGUGCUGUAGGCA